ensembl:snRNA predicted gene, 22706
ACAUUUACCCCGCAGGGGAGAUGCCAUGGUGGUGAAGACGGCUUUCUCAGAACGAGGUUUGCCAAUUGUACUCCAAGAUUUCCCCAAAUGUGGGAAACUCCACAGAUUCAUC